AGAGUUUGAUCCUGGCUCAGGACGAACGCUGGCGGCGCGCCUAACACAUGCAAGUCGAACGAGCGAGAGAGAGCUUGCUUUCUCGAGCGAGUGGCGAACGGGUGAGUAACGCGUGAGGAACCUGCCUCAAAGAGGGGGACAACAGUUGGAAACGACUGCUAAUACCGCAUAAGCCCACGGGUCGGCAUCGACCAGAGGGAAAAGGAGCAAUCCGCUUUGAGAUGGCCUCGCGUCCGAUUAGCUAGUUGGUGAGGUAACGGCCCACCAAGGCGACGAUCGGUAGCCGGACUGAGAGGUUGAACGGCCACAUUGGGACUGAGACACGGCCCAGACUCCUACGGGAGGCAGCAGUGGGGAAUAUUGCACAAUGGGGGAAACCCUGAUGCAGCGACGCCGCGUGGAGGAAGAAGGUCUUCGGAUUGUAAACUCCUGUUGUUGAGGAAGAUAAUGACGGUACUCAACAAGGAAGUGACGGCUAACUACGUGCCAGCAGCCGCGGUAAAACGUAGGUCACAAGCGUUGUCCGGAAUUACUGGGUGUAAAGGGAGCGCAGGCGGGAAGACAAGUUGGAAGUGAAAUCUAUGGGCUCAACCCAUAAACUGCUUUCAAAACUGUUUUUCUUGAGUAGUGCAGAGGUAGGCGGAAUUCCCGGUGUAGCGGUGGAAUGCGUAGAUAUCGGGAGGAACACCAGUGGCGAAGGCGGCCUACUGGGCACCAACUGACGCUGAGGCUCGAAAGUGUGGGUAGCAAACAGGAUUAGAUACCCUGGUAGUCCACACUGUAAACGAUGAUUACUAGGUGUUGGAGGAUUGACCCCUUCAGUGCCGCAGUUAACACAAUAAGUAAUCCACCUGGGGAGUACGACCGCAAGGUUGAAACUCAAAGGAAUUGACGGGGGCCCGCACAAGCAGUGGAGUAUGUGGUUUAAUUCGACGCAACGCGAAGAACCUUACCAAGUCUUGACAUCCUGCGACGGUGCUGGAAACAGUACUUUCCUUCGGGACGCAGAGACAGGUGGUGCAUGGUUGUCGUCAGCUCGUGUCGUGAGAUGUUGGGU
rnacentral:rRNA from 1 species